rnacentral:ncRNA from 1 species
UCAUCCAGAGCAGUUGAGGGACUGGCCCUAUGAUGCUGCGGCAACCUCCGUGGGGACGGAAGGUGCCAAUUCCAGCGGGAGUUUUCCCGGCAGAUGAG